GAUGAACGCUGGCGGCGGGCCUAAUACAUGCAAGUCGAGCGACCACACGAUGAGCUUGCUCUUCUGCCGGUGGCGGCCGACGGGUGAGUAACACGUCCAUAACCUACUAAUACUACUUGGAUAACUUCGGUAAGCCGUCUCUGCUACUCCCGCAUAUGUUCAACGGCAGCGUUCAUUAGUACAAGCCGCUUUUGCUGAUAGAAAGAGCUGACUCCGGGCCGCAUUAGCUAGUGGGUAAGGUAACGGCUUACCAAGGCAACGAUGCGUAGCUGAUCUGAGAGGAUGAUCGGCCACACUGGAACUGAGACACGUUCCAGACUCCUACGGGAGGCAGCAGUGGGGAAUCUUGGGCAAUGGGCGCAAGCCUGACGGAGCCAUGCCGCGUGUGUGAGGAAGGUCUUCGGUUCGUAAAACUCUGUUAUUGGGGAAGAAAAAAUGCCUACGUAUACACGGAGGUCCUGACGGUACCCAAUGAGAAAGCCACGGCUAACUACGUG
rnacentral:rRNA from 1 species